rnacentral:rRNA from 1 species
AAUUUUGGACAAUGGGGGCAACCCUGAUCCAGCCAUGCCGCGUGUCUGAAGAAGGCCUUCGGGUUGUAAAGGACUUUUGUCAGGGAGCAAAACCCAGCAGCUAAUAUCUGUUGGGGAUGAGAGUACCUGAAGAAUAAGCACCGGCUAAAUACGUGCCCGCAGCCGCGGUAAUACGUAGGGUGCAAGCGUUUAUCGGAAUUACUGGGCGUAAAGCGUGCGCAGGGGGAUGUUUAAGCCAGAUGUGAAAGCCCCGAGCUUAACUUGGGAAUUGCGUUUGGAACUGAGCAUCUAGAGUCUGUCAGAGGGGGAUGGAAUUCCACGUGUAGCAGUGAAAUGCGUAGAGAUGUGGAGGAACACCGAUGGCGAAGGCAGUCCCCUGGGAUAAGACUGACGCUCAUGCACGAAAGCGUGGGGAGCAAACAGGAUUAGAUACCCUGGUAGUCCACGCCCUAAACGAUGUCUACUAGUUGUUGGGAUAGGAAUAUCUCAGUGACGCAGCUAACGCGUGAAGUAG